rnacentral:rRNA from 1 species
UACGAGGGGUGCAAGCGUUGCUCGGAAUUAUUGGGCGUAAAGGGUAGGUAGGUGGUCUCAUUUGUCUGGGGUGAAAGCCUUGAGCUUAACUCAAGAAGUGCCCCGGAAACGGUGAGACUCGAGUACUGGAGAGGGUCGUGGAAUUCCCGGUGUAGCGGUGAAAUGCGUAGAGAUCGGGAGGAACACCAGAGGCGAAGGCGGCGACCUGGACAGUAACUGACACUCAACUACGAAAGCGUGGGUAGCAAACAGG